GGUGUAAAGGGCGCGUAGGCGGGUUAGCAAGUCAGAGGUGAAAUCUCCCGGCUCAACCGGGAAACUGCCUUUGAAACUGUUAAUCUUGAGUGCGGAAGAGAGAGAUGGAAUUCCAGGUGUAGCGGUGAAAUGCGUAGAUNUCUGGAGGAACACCAGUUGCGAAGGCGAUCUCUUGGUCCGUUACUGACGCUCAGGCGCGAAAGCGUGGGUAGCAAACAGGAUUAGAUACCCUGGUAGUCCACGCUGUAAACGAUGAAUACUAGGUGUUGGGUCGAAAGGCUCAGUGCCGCAGCUAACGCAUUAAGUAUUCCACCUGGGGAGUACGAUCGCAAGGUUGAAACUCAAAGGAAUUGACGGGGGCCCGCACAAGCAGUGGAGCAUGUGGUUUAAUUCGAUGCAACGCGAAGAACCUUACCUAGGCUUGAAAGGCAAGUGACAGGGUAUGAAAGUACCCCUCCAGCAAUGGCACUUGUACAGGUGCUGCAUGGCUGUCGUCAGCUCGUGCCGUGAGGUGUUGGGUUAAGUCCCGCAACGAGCGCAUCCCUUGUCUCUUGUUACCACCAGUUAGGCUGGGUACUCGGAGAGACUGCCGAUGGAAAUCGAGGAAGGUGGGG
rnacentral:rRNA from 1 species